rnacentral:rRNA from 1 species
UACGGAGGGGGCUAGGCGUUGUUCGGAAUUACUGGGCGUAAAGUGCGCGUAGGCGGACCUGCAAGUCGGGGGUGAAAGCCCGAGGCUCAAACCGUCGGGAACCUGCCUUCGAUACUGCGGGUCUCGAGUCCGGGAGAGGUGAGUGGAAUUCCUAGUGUAGAGGUGAAAUUCGUAGAUAUUAGGAAUGAACACCAGUGGCGGAAGGCGGCUCACUGGCCCGGUACUGACGCUGAGGCGCGAAAGCGUGGGGAGCAAACAGG